AACUUGGCACAUCAAGUAGCGAGGACCCGUUCUCUCCAGCUGAGUAGCUGACACUCAGCUGCUCACAACGGGAGGAAAGGGAACGAGAACCAUUAUAACUCGCUAACUUCUACUACAAUCACCUGCUGCCGUCAACACCGCAUGCACUCAUUGACACUGCCAGAGACCGUGCAUGGCUACGGUGAGGGAAGCAACGAUGGCACUCUUAUCAACAUAAGCCUGCUCGGCGCGGCUCACCUCUGUUCGGCGGUUGUCCUCAGAAUGCUCGGGGGAGGUUCCAGAACACACUCGCGGCCGCCUCGCGCUGUUUACCGACACUCCAUCAACAGCUGACAGCUUCAGGGCUGACAGGCGGAAAUGACGCGCCGUCUGUGUGUGUGUGUGUGUGUGUGUGUGUGUUGGUGGGGGAGGCGGCUGGGCGAUCAAGCCAAUCGCUGUGCGCUUGGAGUGAAUGUGUACACGAGGCUCACAGCUCUGGAUAACAGUGGUCAGAUACUCAAACGUAAUGACCAAAUAGGGGCAGAUUGGAAAGCUGCUGUUGAAGGAGCCUUGCUCCUCUAUUGGAGUAUCCAUUUUAUUUCCCCAAAGAGUCAGUUACCAUGGUAGAAUCGGUUCAGAGGUCACCCUGACUGAGUUGGAACAGAACGAGGCAUUGAUAAGGAGAUAGAAAGGGUGAGAGGAGAGAUCAGAAGGAACGGUAACAUUCCAUUUGAAAUGACGAGGGAAGUUCUUGGAAAAAUCUUUGAAAAUACGUGGAGCUCUGGAAUGGUUAGCCCUACCUUUCACUUCAGGGAAUACACCUCAACUGUGCCCAAACCAUCUCUUCUUUGAAG